rnacentral:rRNA from 1 species
GACGAACGCUGGCGGCGUGCUUAACACAUGCAAGUCGAACGGAAAGGCCCUGCUUUUGUGGGGUGCUCGAGUGGCGAACGGGUGAGUAACACGUGAGUAACCUGCCCUUGACUUUGGGAUAACUUCAGGAAACUGGGGCUAAUACCGGAUAGGAGCUCCUGCUGCAUGGUGGGGGUUGGAAAGUUUCGGCGGUUGGGGAUGGACUCGCGGCUUAUCAGCUUGUUGGGGGGGUAGUGGCUUACCAAGGCUUUGACGGGUAGCCGGCCUGAGAGGGUGACCGGACACAUUGGGACUGAGAUACGGCCCAGACUCCUACGGGAGGCAGCAGUGGGGAAUAUUGCACAAUGGGCGGAAGCAUGAUGCAGCAAAGCCGCGUGCGGGAUGACGGCCUUGGGGUUGUAAACCGCUUUCGCCUGUGACGAAGCGUGAGUGACGGUAAUGGGUAAAGAAGCACCGGCUAACUACGUG